rnacentral:misc_RNA from 1 species
CUUGAAAAGACAGUAUCCGUUUUUGUCGCUACAAUUUUCAUAAUUUUUUACUUCUUUUUCUUGUUUUCUGGUAAGUUAGACGUAUACAGAAGUGUAUAGAUUACUGGGGGCUGUAAUUCUCUUUCAUUUCCUUUUUGUUAGAAGGGAUUGAUUUACAUGCAUCCCUUCGCAUGACUCUGAAAUUCUGCUUAAUCAAGUGUUUAAAAAAUUUCNAUUUUAUGUAUCUUAUAGGAAAAUCUCUCUAGGUAUUUCUUGGCAUGGCAAUGUACUGGCU